AUGGAGCGGCGGCCAGAGCUGCGGCGGUCGAUGACGCUCUCGGAGCAGCUGUCCAGGCCCGACCCGGCCAUCCGCGAGUUCCUCAAGAUCCCCGACGACAACAGCCACCUGAGCGCUGACGCUGGAGGAGGUGGAGGCAGCGGCGGCACGAUCAACUGGAAGCCGCUGCGCGACCGUCUCCGGCUCCGGCGCUCCGUGAACGCCUGGUCCAGCCCGUCGGAGAGGCCCAGCACGGCGGACGGCGCCGGUAGCCUGAAGAACAGCGGCAGCGGCAGCAACCGCAGCCACAAGUACAUCUACGCGCAAGGUGAGGCCACGGCGGCCUUCUGCCGCACCUCCUCGCUCCGCCAGACUCCCGCAUUCUCGCGCGCGGCCUCCACUCGUGUGGGUUCCAACGCCACGAUCGGGCGCUCUCCCCCCGUGGUCGGCGACGAGGGCUCCGAGGACGAGUCAGAUCAGGACGAGGACGAGGAGGAAGGCAAGGAGGAGGAGGAGGCGCCGACGGCGCAGAUGUCCCUGAUGGCGCUGCUGGAGCAGACGGACAGCUGGGACGAGGAGGAGGAGGAGGAGCAGGCCGCGGCAGGCGCCGGGGCCAGCAGCAAGAACGCGCACGCCGAGGAGGAGGAGGAGGACGGCGAGGGGCGCGAGGAGGAGAUGGUGCACGUGUGCUGCGUGUGCAUGGUGCGGCACAAGGGCGCGGCCUUCAUCCCGUGCGGCCACACAUUCUGCCGCCUGUGCUCCCGCGAGCUCUGGGUCAGCCGCGGCAACUGCCCGCUCUGCAACGGCUUCAUCCAGGAGAUCCUCGACAUCUUCUGA
rnacentral:rRNA from 1 species